CCUCCAUAGAGGAGGUCGUGCACAGUCGUCAGCGCCGGACAAGCCGGACCUCUCGCUAGCCAGCCAGCCAGCCACGGCAGCGCAAAAACGCCGGUGCAUGUCGUCAGAUAUCAGAGGACCCUGAUGUCACAGCAUUGGGACCUUCCAGCAGUCCAGCAGCUGCGGAUGGUGAGGAGCCACAUCCGGGACACCGCUACCA
rnacentral:lncRNA from 1 species